CAGACUCCUCCUACAGUAUUUUUGUUAAUGAUUUUGCUUUUAUGAGCAGCUAUUUUUUGGUUUCACCCCUUUAUAUCCUUUGGUUGGGGUUGAGAGACUGGUAGAAUCUUAAACGAAAAAAUCCAAAUCUAAAGCAAGUUGUCAAAGUAUUGCCUUCUCCUAACUUGUUUCUAAUGACCCCUUAUUAGUUUUAUUUUUGCCUUCUGUUGAAUUUGGAUGCUAAUGAUGGUAUAUUUGAUUUAUUUUAAUUCAAGGAAUCUUUUGGACUCAGACUGCUUAAACAGUGUAAUAUAAUGAGAAUCAA
rnacentral:lncRNA from 1 species